UGAGGAAUAUUGGUCAAUGGGCGGGAGCCUGAACCAGCCAAGCCGCGUGACGGAAGAAGGCGCUAAGCGUCGUAAACGUCUUUUGCCGGGGAACAAAGGCGCGGACGCGUCCGCGUGUGAGUGUACCCGGAGAAAAAGCAUCGGCUAACUCCGUGCCAGCAGCCGCGGUAAUACGGAGGAUGCGAGCGUUAUCCGGAUUUAUUGGGUUUAAAGGGUGCGUAGGCGGCCCGUUAAGUCAGCGGUAAAAGCCCGGGGCUCAACCCGGCGAGCCGUUGAAACAUGGAGGGCUAGAGACGGCGAGAAGUACGCGGAAAUGCGCGGUGUAGCGGUGAAAAUGCAUAGAUAUCGCGCAGAACUCCGAUUGCGAAGGCAGCGUACCGGCGCGGACUGACGCUGAGGCACGAAAAGCGUGGGUAUCGAACAGGAUUAGAUACC
rnacentral:rRNA from 1 species